GAAGGAAGGAAGAAGGAGGAAAGAAAUGAAUUAGUAUUUCUUGAAAUUCAGGUGCCACAAGUGAAGGUUAUUCAAACAAAGACCUAUGAAGAUUUGAGGACUCCUAGAACACACUAGCUGCAGCCAAAAAAAAAAAACACCCUGAAAACAAAGACGGAUGCAUAGACCAUUUGGAAAUAGUUGAUCAAACAGUAAUAUAUGAAGAUGAUGAGAUACUAUUGUGCCAUAAGAAAUGACAAAUAUAAAUAAUCCAGAGAAAUGAGAAAAGACUUGUAUGAACUAAUGCAAAAGACAGUAACUACAACCAGUGGAACAAUAUGCAUGACUACAAAAAUAUAAAAGAAAACAACACUAAAAAGUAGUUGAAGUCAGAAUAACUGAAAUAAACCUUAGUCUUGGAGAAUA